AAGCGUAUUACUUUAUUGUCAGUGUUGUUUAGGCCCAGGUCGCUAACGUUACUUCGUUAGUCAACAACGUAACGUUAACGGAGUGGAAACAGCCGUUCUUUGCUAUUAAUAUGAGUGUGUAUUAUUUCUUUCUUUGUUCUUUAGUGGAGCUCGAGAUCCUGUUUACUGUGGACUAGCUGUGUGUGACGCCCUGUUGUUUUUGUUUCCAUUAAAAAAAAAAGGAACAUGGAGUUGGGAUUUGCAAUCUGAGGCAGAGAAUGUGGAGCUGCCAGAAAAAAGGAACAGGAAGCCAGUCCAUCAUCUCGGGGACUCUGAUGAUAGCGAGGAAGACCCGGGAAAUGGUGACCUCACAUCUUUGGGGUUGGCAAGCCAAUUGCACAGGCAGACUCCACCGUCUCGCCGAGUGCCAGCAAGAGUCAUGAGUACUUGUCAACUCGACUCCUCAACUGGAGAUAACUUUCUAGCACCUCACCAUUGGGAAGGAUGUAUUCAUAUGCCUUCACCAGCACCUGCAUUAAACAUGCAGAAAGUUACACAAGUUCUUACCACCUUGGGGCACCAUUCAGGGUGCCUUUUCAUCUGAUUAAAUUUAUAAUGAACAGGGACAUUGCGGUUGUCCCAAGUGGAUGGUAUGAUGAUAGGAUGGUUUUCUGGCCCAGCUAUAAAAACACCGACAGAAUGGAAAAGGCCGCUUUAAAUGAGG